UAGAGUUUGAUCCUGGCUCAGGAUAAACGCUGGCGGCGUGCCUAACACAUGCAAGUCGAACGUCCUUCCUCUUUCGGGAGGAAGGGAGUGGCGGACGGGUGAGUAGCGCGUGGGCACCUGCCCUCAGGUGAGGAAUACCGGCGAGAAAUCGCCGACAAGACCGCAUAGGCUCGCUGCUUUGGGGCGGCGAGCAAAGUUCCGCGAGGGACGCCUGGGGAGGGGCCUGCGUCCGAUUAGCUAGCUGGUGGGGUAAAGGCUCACCAGGGCGACGAUCGGUAGCUGGUCUGAGAGGACGAACAGCCACACUGGGAUUGAGAACGGCCCAGACUCCUACGGGGGGCAGCAGUGAGGAAUUUUCGGCAAUGGGGGCAACCCUGACCGAGCAACGCCGCGUGCAGGAAGACGGCCUUCGGGUUGUAAACUGCUUUUCUGUGGGACGAGAGAGGACGGUACCACAGGAAGAAGCCCCGGCUAACUACGUGCCAGCAGCCGCGGUAAGACGUAGGGGGCGAGCGUUGUCCGGAGUUACUGGGCGUAAAGGGCGCGCAGGCGGUCUGCCACGUUUGCCAUGACAGGGUCGGGCUUCACUCGACCAGGAGGGCGAAAACGAGCGGACUUGAGGCUCAGAGAGGGACCUGGAAUUCCGGGUGGAGUGGUGAAAUGCGUAGAGAUCCGGAGGAACACCAAAGGCGAAGGCAGGGUCCUGGCUGAGAACUGACGCUGAGGGGCGAAAGCCAGGGGAGCGAACAGGAUUAGAUACCCUGGUAGUCCUGGCUGUAAACGAUGACCACUAGAUGUGCGGGGUAUCGACCCCCUGCGUGUCGGAGGAAACCUUUUAAGUGGUCCGCCUGGGGAGUACGGUCGCAAGAUUAAAACUCAAAGGAAUUGACGGGGACCCGCACAAGCAGCGGAGCGUGUGGUUUAAUUCGAUGCAACGCGAAGAACCUUACCAGGGCUUGACAUGCCACCGAUCGCGUCAGAGAUGGCGUUCCCUUCGGGGCGGUGGCACAGGUGCUGCAUGGCUGUCGUCAGCUCGUGCCGUGAGGUGUUGGGUUAAGUCCCGCAACGAGCGCAACCCCUAUGGUCGGUUGUAGGUUUCCGGCCAGACUGCCACGAUCAACGUGGAGGAAGGUGGGGAUGAUGUCAAGUCAGCACGGCCCUGACGUCCUGGGCGACACACACGCUACAAUGGCCGGGCACAACGGGUGGCCAACCCGCGAGGGGGAGCUAAUCCCAGCAAACCCGGUCUCAGUUCGGAUUGCAGGCUGCAACCCGCCUGCAUGAAGUCGGAGUUGCUAGUAACCGUGAGUCAGCACAUCACGGUGAAUACGUUCCCGGGUCUUGUACACACCGCCCGUCACACCACGAAAGUCGGCAACACCUGAAGCCGCUGAGCUAACCCUGUGGGGGGCAGGCGUCGAGGGUGGGGUCGGUGAUUGGGGUGAAGUCGUAACAAGGUAGCCGUA
rnacentral:rRNA from 1 species